GACGAACGCUGGCGGCGUGCUUAACACAUGCAAGUCGAACGGAAAGGCCCUGCUUUUGUGGGGUGCUCGAGUGGCGAACGGGUGAGUAACACGUGAGUAACCUGCCCUUGACUUUGGGAUAACUUCAGGAAACUGGGGCUAAUACCGGAUAGGAGCUCCUGCUGCAUGGUGGGGGUUGGAAAGUUUCGGCGGUUGGGGAUGGACUCGCGGCUUAUCAGCUUGUUGGGGGGGUAGUGGCUUACCAAGGCUUUGACGGGUAGCCGGCCUGGGAGGGGGACCGGCCACAUUGGGCCUGAGAUAGGGCCCAGACUCCUACGGGAGGCAGCGGUGGAGAAUAUUGCACAGUGGGCGGAAGCCUGAUGCGACGACGCCGCGUGCGGGAUAACGGCCUUCGGGUUGUAAACCGCUUUCGCCUGUGACGAGGCGUGAGUGACGGUAAUGGGUAAAGAAGCACCGGCUAACUACGUG
rnacentral:rRNA from 1 species